UACAACUCCUGUGUCCAGAGGAUUAAAAAUAGAGUUUGGCCUUAAAAAGUACCACUUUAUAAGAGGCAACAUGACAUAGUGUUUUAACUGACCUCAUGUUCACAACAGAAUCGAAAAUCUUUGUUAGAAAUUAGUGAAGCCUGUAAGAUGGUUUUUAAAAAGCAUGAUGUGGUAUAUAAAUAGAGCUUAAUUUUGUAAAGUUCUAAUAUUAAUUUUUAUAAGUCCAACGGUCUUAGACUGUUCAACAUUGUAAUCCUCUUAAUCAAAGACAAGUAAAUUUAUAUUGUGAACAUUUUGGUAACAAAUGGCAAUGUUUUCAUAAACUCACACUGGGAUUCAAAGCAUAACAGCAUAAACUUUUCUAGAUUUUUGCAAUCAACAGAGCUGCUUCUAAGAGAAAUGUAGAUGGAAAAAUAGGAAUCUGGAACUAUAUAUUCAUAAUUAAAUACACUGGAAGAUUUUUGACCGCUCUCAUUGGUUUACUGUUUUCUUGCUUUUUGGGGAAGAAACAAUUUCGUUGGAUUUUAGUUGACAAGGUAGUUAUCUUGGCUUCAGCAUUAUAUAUAAAUAUGCAAAUUAUUUGGAGAGUUAAUGGGCAGGCCAUUUAUCUCUAAUAAAGUUUAGAUGGCUAUGCUUAAAACUGAAUUUGUGUAUCUGAGUGGGAAACAGCCUUUUUUCUUUUUUUUUUCCCUCUUGGUUGACACCUGGUGGAAAUUCAUUCUGGUUGUUCAAGUAGUUGGAAUUUUGUACUAGCUUUGGUAACAGAUACUACUUGGGUUUUUUUGCCACCUAGUGGUAAAAUGGUGAAUUUGCUAAAAUGUCAGCUUCUCAGCUUUAGGGUCAAAUGAUACUUGUGAAGCAUUCAAAUGACAUUGGGCAAGAAAUGGAUUUAAAAGUGCAGUACACAAUGAGGACUUCAUUACUAAAUUUGUUUUAAACACCUCAGGGCUCGUGAACAAUGGCUAAAUUGUUCAGAAGUUUAAGUAAAAAUUUUCUUGUCGUAAUAUAACUUCUAUCUGAAAAAAUAAGAAUCAGUUUUUUAAAUGAACUAGAAUUGCAUUUAAUCAGAAAGAACCCUAAGAGAUUUACUUGUAGUUUCGAAAAUUGUUUUACCACAUUAAAUGAUUCAUUCAUGGGGCUAUAGGGCAUUAUUACUUCUCUUAGAAGCUUUUAGGAUAUUGUAAAUUACUGUCUUUAUUACUUACUUUGCUAUUUCUCUUUAUUUUCUCUCUGUGUCUUCAUAAACACUUCCUAAACACCUCUUAAACUAAUUGACAAGUUGCCAGGAAAUUCUUAUCCCCUGUCACUUUUACUUAAGAUUCUGCUCAUUUAUCCUAAUUAUCACCUUUCUUUGAUUUGGAUUUGGUCAUGUAACUAUUUAAGUGUCUAAACUUGAGUUUACUUGCUUUACUUGCUUCAUUUUGUUUACUUCCUCCUAUUUGUUCAAACUCUGGAAACACCAGAAACAAACAAACAACAAACAACCCUGGCACCUUUAAAUUCCUGUUUGUGUUUUCAGUUUUUUAAAAAUUUAUUUAUGUGAGUAAUAUCUACAUCCAGUAUGGGGCUCAAACUCACAACCAGAGAUCAAGAGUCUCAUGCUCUUCCAACUGAGCCAGCCAGAUGUCCCUUUGUUUUUGUGUCUAAAAGGAAAAAAAAAACACUUUGACUAAAUUUUGGACUAAAUGUUUUCUCUUGUGGCUUUUGUAACCUCCCCUUUUCAAAACUCCUUGUCUAAAACUCUGCCUUUGAGAUAACUUGAAAAGUACUUUAGGUGUUUUCUUGGUCUUCUGGACUUGUCUUACUGGGCCCUUAUUGUAUUUUGCAUUAAGUUUAAGCUAUUCAUCUUUACCACUAAGGCUCUUUCCUACUGCACUCCAGCCUACGUCUCCUAUGCCUUCUCCUCCUACUCCUCUGCUGACUCUCUAUACUCCUGUCAAGUGCAUCUUCUGUCCCCUUUGUUAGCCUGUCUCGCUGUUGCCAGUGUGCAGUUGCAUGCCGUUUUCUGUGCCCAGAACAACAUCUCACUGCUGUUAACUCCUUUCCCUUCUUCUAACCCCUCUACUAGACUCAGUUGGGCACAACUGAAUAAAAUUCCAAGUAGGCAGAAUAACUAGCUCCCCCUUCCCUUUUUACAACUUCUUCAGAGCUUAAGUAGAAAUCCCUCUUUAUGGUAUUUGUUCCUUGGAUUUUAAAUUCGAUGGCUGUUCCACCUUACUGUACAAAGGAUUAAACUCAAGCUCAAGAACUCUAUCUAAAACUGACAAAUGAUGAUCACUAUCAAGAUAUUUUGUAUUCAUGUGGCUUUUCUGCAAAUGAAGAGGAAGGAGAGAAGAACCUUUUAGAAAGAGUCGCUUGAUAAAUAAGUGGCCAAUGGCAGGGGAAUGAUUGUCAAAUAGAGUCAUGAUCCUAAAAAGGAUAAGUGAUCACUCUAAAUGAAAUGAAGUGUUGGUUGCUGGCUUGGAGACAGCAGCGGCCAAUAGUUAAGAGGACAAAGCCAAUUAAGUGAACUCUUGAAAAAUCACCAAAACAUUGAACAGUGAAAUACUUAGAUUGAAAACACUACAAUAUUUGCUGUGGAGAAACAGAACUUUGUGGAUUUAUGAAUGGAAAUGAGAUAUAACAUUCUGGAUUCUUACAAGAGAGCAGAAAGUAUGAGCAAUGAAUUGGUUUCCGAUGUUUGCAACUAUGACCUUAAAUGACAGAACUGAGUAGGACUCAGGGUACGCCCAGCAUCCCUUGCAUGUUGCCUGGAAGGUAUUCCUGGACCACUUGCCUUACCUCAAGAGGUUUCUUGGAAUAAAUUGGAAUUCACGGAUGCGUAUUGGAGCACCGUGAGGCUGGCUUCCGGUUAUUGUUAGGACUGACAUGGCUACAGAAUUUCUCCAAACCUCACAUCUGCAAACUGCAGGGUGUGCAAUACCUUGUACUUGGUGUCCUUAAGUGAUUGGUAGUAUCUCAAUAAGCACAAGAGAGUUAGCAAAUAGGCCCAAUCAUCUCUUCUCUCUGCAGGCUUCACAGACCCAGACUCUAAUGAACCAUGGCAGCGUCAGAGUGCAGCAGCAUUUUACAGAUAAGGGCACCUGACACAAAAAGACCAGGUAACUUGGUCAGAGUUGCAAAAAUCAUUCGAAGAGCCACAACUAAUUGUCAUGUUUUCUGACCUCCAAACCACUUGACAUGUUUUGACACAUAUAUUUUCAAAACAGAUUGACAAAAAUCAUUGUUUAAAUGGCUUAAUUUGAUAAUGCUGGCUGAUGCAUUGUUAUUUGAUAGAAAGUAGAUUUAGCUAUCCAAGAAACACACAGUUGACUUUCUUCCAGAUGCUGCAAGUACAUUUUUAGUAAACUAAUUUAAAAAUCAGUAACAGAAGGCCUAUGAUGAACAUUUUUUUGCUUUUUUUUUGUCAUUUUACAUUUGACUAACCUUUUAUAACACCCAGAUGUAUGGGCAUAAUAAGUUGGUGCUGAGAGGAAAACUUUAUGAACUUCUGAGGACCAUAAAGCAGUUAGAAAAUAAGUUAAUAUUCUGAAGUGCAUUAAUUAAUACUUUUGACUACCCUGACCAGUUAAGAUCCUCAGAGACAUAUACCCCAAUUUUGAAUCCAAUUAAAAUGAUCUCCAUUACUAAAUUAACCCAUGUACAUUCAGAUCUUGAUAUAAAAUGACAUAGUCUCAAGACACCAAUUAAUUAAUCAAACAUGCAAAAAUAUGUCAAGAAAAUUAUUAAUCCUUCUAUUCUGAUGUCAGAUCUCAAAGGUCUUCAAACUUCUUAUAUAUUAGAAGUAUUAUAUACUAUGUCAAUUCUUCUUCACUUUAUUUAAAAGAUGACACUGAAAAAACAUUUCACCAUAUGUUUGUUUUAGAUGCAGUGAAAAAAUGUUCUUUUCAAAACAUAUGGUGAUGUAAUUAGGUGUCUCUGAACACAGCAAGGUUGGAAAGAGAAAUGUAUGAACGAAAUUGAAACCAUUUGCUGCUCUGGUGUCACCCCCCACCUUCCCCACCAACAUUAGUAUCUUCUCCGAGUUAUCAUUGUUGUAAUAAAGAAAAAUUUUAAGCACUUGAAGAUGAGGAAUGUCUGCUGUCACCUACCAUGGUUAUAGCAGAUAGAAUUCCAGGACUGCCUCUUCUUCCCUCUCACUGUGCAAAGCUAUGUGACUCAUGCUGUCAGUACCUCUUGCUGAGGAGUUUUGGCAUUAAUCCAGCAUCAUUGACAUUUGUGUAAUGUUUUGCAGCCGGGAGUCUGCUUUUAUCUAUGGCUUAGCUACCUUUAUGCAGCCUCAUGGGAUUUAUUUCUACUAAUGGGGAGAGGCCUUGUGUUUCUUUUUCUUCAAUAAAAAUGUUUGUUUAAAAAUA